rnacentral:lncRNA from 1 species
AUCUUGAGCUCGACUGCAAGCAUAAAGCUACAGUCUUAACUCCAUUCGGCCGCAAGCACAAGCUACAACCUCAUCUAAGUCUACUACAAGCAUAAGCUACGGCCUCACCUCGAGCUCGACUGCAAGCACAUAGCUUCGGCCUUAAUUCCGUCCAACCGCAAGCAUAAAGCUAUGGCCUUAACUUCGUUCGGCUACAAGCAUGAAGCUAUGGUCUUAACUCCAUUUGGCCACA